rnacentral:rRNA from 1 species
CGCGGCCUAUCAGCUUGUUGGUGGGGUGAUGGCCUACCAAGGCGACGACGGGUAGCCGGCCUGAGAGGGCGACCGGCCACACUGGGACUGAGACACGGCCCAGACUCCUACGGGAGGCAGCAGUGGGGAAUAUUGCACAAUGGGCGAAAGCCUGAUGCAGCGACGCCGCGUGAGGGAUGACGGCCUUCGGGUUGUAAACCUCUUUCAGCAGGGAAGAAGCGAAAGUGACGGUACCUGCAGAAGAAGCGCCGGCUAACUACGUGCCAGCAGCCGCGGUAAUACGUAGGGCGCAAGCGUUGUCCGGAAUUAUUGGGCGUAAAGAGCUCGUAGGCGGCUUGUCACGUCGGGUGUGAAAGCCCGGGGCUUAACCCCGGGUCUGCAUUCGAUACGGGCAGGCUAGAGUGUGGUAGGGGAGAUCGGAAUUCCUGGUGUAGCGGUGAAAUGCGCAGAUAUCAGGAGGAACACCGGUGGCGAAGGCGGAUCUCUGGGCCAUUACUGACGCUGAGGAGCGAAAGCGUGGGGAGCGAACAGGAUUAGAUACCCUGGUAGUCUACGCCGUAAACGUUGGGAACUAGGUGUUGGCGACAUUCCACGUCGUCGGUGCCGCAGCUAACGCAUUAAGUUCCCCGCCUGGGGAGUACGG